GAUGAACGCUGGCGGCGUGCCUAAUACAUGCAAGUCGAGCGAACAGACGAGGAGCUUGCUCCUCUGACGUUAGCGGCGGACGGGUGAGUCACACGUGGAUAACCUACCUAUAAGACUGGGAUAACUUCGGGAAACCUGAUCUAAUACCGGAUAAUAUAUUGAACCGCAUGGUUCAAUAGUGAAAGCCGGUUUUGCUGUCACUUAUAGAUGUAUCCGCGCCGCAUUAGCUAGUUGGUAAGGUAACGGCUUACCAAGGCAACGAUGCGUAGCCGACCUGAGAGGGUGAUCGGCCACACUGGAACUGAGACACGGUCCAGACUCCUACGGGAGGCAGCAGUAGGGAAUCUUGCGCAAUGGGCGAAAGCUUGACGGAGCAACGCCGCGUGAGUGAUGAAGGUCUUCGGAUCGUAAAACUCUGUUAUUAGGGAAGAACAAAUGUGUAAGUAACUAUGCACGUCUUGACGGUACCUAAUCAGAAAGCCACGGCUAACUACGUG
rnacentral:rRNA from 1 species